rnacentral:rRNA from 1 species
CCUACGGGAGACUGCAGUGAGGAAUAUUGGUCAAUGGACGCAAGUCUGACCCAGCAAUGCCGCGUGCAGGAAGACGGCUCUAUGAGUUGUAAACUGCUUUUGUACGAGGGUAAACGCAGAUACGCGUAUAUAUAUGAAAGUAUCGUACGAAUAAGGAUCGGCUAACUCCGUGCCAGCAGCCGCGGUAAUACGGAGGGUUCAAGCGUUAUCCGGAUUUAUUGGGUUUACAGGGUGCGUAGGCGGUCGGAUAAGUUAGAGGUGAAAUCCCGAGGCUCAACUUCGGAAUUGCCUCUGAUACUGUUCGGCUAGAGAGUAGUUGCGGUAGGCGGAAUGUAUGGUGUAGCGGUGAAAUGCUUAGAGAUCAUACAGAACACCGAUUGCGAAGGCAGCUUACCAAGCUACUUCUGACGUUGAGGCACGAAAGCGUGGGGAGCAAACAGGAUUAGAUACCCGGGUAGUC